GUAGGGGCCAAGCGUUUAUCCGGAUUUAUUGGGCGUAAAGAGCUCGUAGGCGGCUUGGCAAGUCGGUCGUGAAAGUCCGAGGCUCAACCUCGGAAUGCCGGUCGAAACUGCCAUGGCUAGGGUUCGGUAGAGGAGAGUGGAAUUCUCGGUGUAGCGGUGAAAUGCGCAGAUAUCGAGAGGAACACCAGUAGCGAAGGCGGCUCUCUGGGCCGAUACCGACGCUGAGGAGCGAAAGCGUGGGGAGCAAACAGGGAUUAGAUACCCUGGUAGUCCACGCCGUAAACGGUGAUCACUAGGUGUGGCGGACUCAUUGACGUCUGCUGUGCCGGCGCUAACGCAUUAAGUGAUCCCGCCCUGGGGAGUACGGCCGCAAGGCUAA
rnacentral:rRNA from 1 species